ensembl:snoRNA
ACCUUUGCACUCAGUAUGUCUUAUUUGUUCCUUCAUAGUCCAUGUUAGAAGAUAAAGAAUUUUAUACGUGAAUUUAUUCAGUUCCUAACUGAACUACUCUUUUAAAAACAAGAUAUAUCU